rnacentral:rRNA from 1 species
ACUCCUACGGGAGGCAGCAGUGGGGAAUAUUGCACAAUGGGGAAACCCUGAUGCAGCCAUGCCGCGUGUGUGAAGAAGGCCUUCGGUUGUAAAGCACUUUCAGUAGGGAGGAAGGUAGUGUAGUUAACACCUGCAUUAUUUGACGUUACCUACAGAAGAAGCACCGGCUAACUCCGUGCCAGCAGCCGCGGUAAUACGGAGGGGUGCGAGCGUUAAUCGGAAUUACUGGGCGUAAAGCGCAUGCAGGCGGCCUGUUAAGUCAGAUGUGAAAGCCCGGGGGCUUAACCUCGGAAUUGCAUUUGAAACUGGCAGGCUAGAGUCUUGUAGAGGGGGUAGGAAUUUCAGGUGUAGCGGUGAAAUGCGUAGAGAUCUGAAGGAAUACCAGUGGCGAAGGCGGCCCCCUGGACAAAGACUGACGCUCAGAUGCGAAAGCGUGGGGAGGCAAACAGGAUUAGAUACCCUGGUAGACUGUCA